GGAAAGUAGGAGGGAAGGAACAGCUGCCUGGGGAAACAGUGAUGCUACACAGGAUAGCAAAUGUUAAAGGUUUUGCUAGCUGAUGACACUCACCCAGUGAGCAUUGGUGGGCUUUGAUGGGUGGCACCUACUAGUUGGUAGACACCUCAACUAGGGCUGAAGAAGAAAGAAGAAAGAAAUCUGUGGCUUUUAACCGGCUGACAGAAAGGUGAUAUAUGUAUGUGUGUGUGUGUUUGUGUGUAUACACACACUCCAAUAAUAUACUAAGGAUGCUUUGCUAACUAGCACUGUCUGUCUGGGGGCUGGCUGCCAAAAGUUAAUCUCUACGUUUAGAUUCUGGUGGGGCUACCUUUGAAGGUGACCCGGAAACUACAACUAAUCCAGAACGCAGCAGCCAGACUGGUGACUGGGAACAGCCGCCGAGACCAUAUAACACCGGUCUUGAAAGACCUACAUUGGCUCCCAGUACGUUUCCGAGCACAAUUCAAAGUGUUGGUGCU